rnacentral:rRNA from 1 species
AGUGAACGCUGGCGGUAGGCCUAACACAUGCAAGUCGAACGGCAGCACAGUAAGAGCUUGCUCUUACGGGUGGCGAGUGGCGGACGGGUGAGGAAUACAUCGGAAUCUACUUUUUCGUGGGGGAUAACGUAGGGAAACUUACGCUAAUACCGUAUACGACCUACGGGUGAAAGCAGGGGAUCUUCGGACCUUGCGCGAUUGAAUGAGCCGAUGUCGGAUUAGCUAGUUGGCGGGGUAAAGGCCCACCAAGGCGACGAUCCGUAGCUGGUCUGAGAGGAUGAUCAGCCACACUGGAACUGAGACACGGUCCAGACUCCUACGGGAGGCAGCAUUGGGGAAUAUUGGACAAUGGGCGCAAGCCUAAUCCAGCCAUACCGCGUGGGUGAAGAAGGCCUUCGGGUCGUAAAGCCCUUUUGUUGGGAAAGAAAAGCAGCAGGUUAAUACCCCGCUGUUCUGACGGUACCCAAAGAAUAAGCACCGGCUAACUUCGUG